GUUAAAUUUAAUAAUUGAUUCUAACUAAUUGACCGCUAAAAGUUUAUGUGAAAUUAUUAAAAAGAAAAAAUGAGGUAGAAUUGUAAAAAUGAGUAAAGAUUGAAAUUUUUUUGACAAUUUGCCCAAUAUAAAAUCUGGACAGAGAACUUCUGAAAUAUUUAUUAUUGUCACCAUGUUAUAAUAGGUACACUUUUACCAUUAGUCAAGUGUGGACAACAUAAAAUUUU
rnacentral:misc_RNA from 1 species